rnacentral:rRNA from 1 species
GACGAACGCUGGCGGCGUGCUUAACACAUGCAAGUCGAGCGGAAAGGCCCCUUCGGGGGUACUCGAGCGGCGAACGGGUGAGUAACACGUGGGUAAUCAACCCCUGACAUCGGGAUACCCCGGGGAAACCCGGAUCAAUACCGGAUAAGGUGCGGAGGCGCAGGCCGCCGUACCAAAGGUAGCUUCGGCUUCCGGUCAGGGACGAGCCCGCGGCCCAUUAGCUUGUUGGUGGGGUAACGGCCCACCAAGGCGACGAUGGGUAGCUGGUCGGGGAGGACGAUCAGCCACACUGGGACUGAGACACGGCCCAGGCUCCUACGGGAGGCAGCAGUGGGGAAUCUUGCGCAAUGGGCGGAAGCCUGACGCAGCAACGCCGCGUGCGGGAAGAAGGCCCUAGGGUCGUAAACCGCUUUCAGGGGGGACGAAGCUUCCGGGGUUAAUAGCCUACGGGGUGACGGUACUCCCAGAAGAAGGUCCGGCUAACUACGUGCCAGCCGCCGCAGUAA